rnacentral:lncRNA from 1 species
GCUAUUGUUUUUGUUUGCAAAGUCGUUCUAUAUUAAGAAAUAAGUAGAUUAUUCCAGUUCUUGACUAUUUUGUUUUUCUAUAUUAAAAGGUGAGUGGAUUACCUUGCUUUUUAGGUGUUAUUUUGUAUUAAGAAUUGAGUGAAUUACCCCGCUUCUUGAGUAUUGUUUUGUGUUGAAAAGUGAGUGGACUAUCCCACUUUGUGUCACAGACACAGAAUACAGACUUGAUAUCUACCAAGAAGUUCAAGAAGAACUGGCAAGAACUAGAUUAAUCAGAUGAAUACAAGAACAACACUAGAGAGGUGAACUAGAGCUCCAAGAGAUGUG